GGACAGAGUGAGACUACCUACGUCUCAGAAAUAAAUAAAUAAAUAAAUAAAUAAAGCCAUAAAUGAAUGAGAGAAGUCAUUGGUACUGCUUCAGAGAAAUGCCUUAACUCCAGCAAUGCCCAGAGGCAUCUCUCAGCUCCAGCCUGGGGCCUCCACAGGGCUGCUAACAUCCCAGUUAAUGCUCCAACUGCUGUUUAACAAUUAACAUUAAUGACUUGUGGUGGGACUGGGUGAUUUGGUGGGAUGAGAAGGGAAAAAUCUGAGAAGUCAAAAGACAUUUAACUUUGGGGUAAAAAAAAACUGUUUCUCUAUGAGAGAUCUUGGCCUGGGAAGCCUAUCUGGGGAAACAGCAGCUGACAGUUCUCCUUUGCCACUCUGCAAUCCAGUUUCCUGGAGCAAAGCUACAGGCCUUUUAAAAAUCCAGCUGCCAGUCCCUCCUCACUCACUUCACUGGACACUAACCUGGCCUGGGCUGGGACUCAUGCUGUGGUCCUGGUCACCAGAGCCAAAAUAGGGGGAAAGUUGGUGUGGAAAAAGCAGGCAAUCAGGGAUACAGACCGUUAGUCAAUAUUUGCAAGGCUGUUGGCAGAUUACAUAUAUCUGUACUCAAACACUGUAAUCUGAUUUCUCUAUCAAAAAUUCACUUAACAUUUUUGUUCCAUUACUUAAAUCUAGUGGAUUUUCUACUCAGCAUCAGGUAAGGCUCUCUUAGCCCACUGUGUGUGUGUGUGUGUGUGUGUGUGUGUGUGUGUGUGUGUGUAUGAUAGAUUCUUAUUUAAGAUGAGAUAUUUCCUGUGAGUGCAAGUGCAGUACAAAUGAGCCAAGUUCUCUGGACACAUGUGGAUGUGUAUAUGGUGUUAUACACACGGCCCCAAACUCCUGCAAUUAUUUACACAUGCAAUUGUUCUGUUGUUUGCAGAGAUGGAAAUCAUAUACACGGAGUUACGAAUUCCUGAAACGCUUUGUCUACAUUUGAUAUAAACAGACAUACAGUAGCUGAGAAAGUAACCCAGCUUGACUAUUGCUCUGUUUACCUUCUAUUGGAAAAAAUAAAAAUUGUAUCCAGAAUACCAUAUCAGCCUUAGAGCACCACUGAAUAUCAUGUUGCAAUUAAUUAACAACCUGAUAACUAUUUGGGACUAAAUUUACGGGAAGUUUGAGGCCUAGGGAAUAGAAAACAAAAUCUCAAAACUUUUUAAAAAUAAGUAAUUCCUGAAAGAACAAAGCCAACUCAUUCCUUCAUGCCAUGGUUUUGAAUGCUAUUCCAGCAGCCCCUCCCCCAAACAGGCACGUAAUUUAUGGAUCUUUUACAAGGUAAUAAACCACAGUAAUUACCUCCCUGCAUCCCAAACUAAGAGAACAAAUUAAGGCAGAGCUUGAAAAGAAUUUAAAAGAGUUUUCCUUUGUUCCAAAUAGGAAAAGAAAACGCCAAGACAUAGAAGAGCAUAUUUUUCCCCGUAGGAAGAACCGAGAAUGAGCCCUGAUGAAGGAAGGGAGAAGACCUGCUACCUGCGAAGGCCUAAAGGCCGCGGUUGCCAGGAGCCGUGGAGAGCCAACUCCUCCCAACCCCCCUGAUGCAAAGUCCCACGCAGCGAAGAGUUUUGAAGUAGCGCUUACCUAGAGAGAUGUUUAAAUCUGAACUAGGAAUUGUCUCCAACUCCGGGCGCUCAGGGAAUCGCCUUUUCCAGUGUCCAGGCGCUCUGCAGACAAAUAAACAGCAGAGGGUGAACGGCGGCUGCGAAAGAAGGGAGUUAGAGGCCCAGAGUGGGAAGCACGGCUCCUGCAAGUGCCAAGGUGGCCCUGGGGGUGACUCGAACACCAAGGAGUCGCCAGGGCACUCAUCCAUGCGGUGCACUCAUUGCUCGAAAUGUUCCAGUCUACAAAUGGCCCGAAGAUGGUGAUUUAUUUUUGUAAAAUAAAUACAUACUCCAUCUCCGCACCCA